rnacentral:rRNA from 1 species
UAAGGAAUAUUGGUCAAUGGACGCAAGUCUGAACCAGCCAUGCCGCGUGAAGGAUGAAGGUCCUCUGGAUUGUAAACUUCUUUUAUCUGGGACGAAAACGGGAUUUUUAUCUCAAUUGACGGUACCAGAGGAAUAAGCACCGGCUAACUCCGUGCCAGCAGCCGCGGUAAUACGGAGGGUGCGAGCGUUAUCCGGAUUUACUGGGUUUAAAGGGUGCGUAGGUGGGCUUAUAAGUCAGUGGUGAAAUCUCCGAGCUUAACUUGGAAACUGCCGUUGAUACUAUAGGUCUUGGAUUAUCGGGAGGUAAGCGGAAUAUGUCAUGUAGCGGUGAAAUGCUUAGAUAUGACAUAGAACACCAAUUGCGAAGGCAGCUUACUACAUAUAAAUUGACGCUGAGGCACGAAAGCGUGGGGAUCAAACA